UCGCACUCCUCUCAUCUGGAUAUUUUUAUUAACGUCUCUUUUGAUUUUUUUUACUGCCAACCAAAGGAAUGUUGUUUUAUGUUUCUUUAAUUGUACAUGAUGCAUAUAAAUAUUUAAUACCUGAAAAGUAGAAGUGCCUACAUAUAUUAUUUGCUAUUUUCUUGAAAAAUUGAGAAGUUUUACAUCAAUUUUCCUUGAUUGUAGGCAAGAUGUUGCUGGUAAUGCUACCAUCCAGUCAUUUUACCAUGAUGUUGUCCAUCUUUAGGUUUUUUUGAGCAAACAUUUGUUUGCAUCUGUGGAUGCUAAAGUGCCACCAUCACCAAUGGCUGAUGUUAGGGCACCAAAAAGUGACAAUGAAAUCAGACGAAAAUCUGUGGGUGAAGUUCCUACUGAUGCCCAAUUUGAUUCUUCGGUGAUAUGGACAAUCUAUUCAUGGGUUGCAAGUAUCUCUUCUGUUUUUUGUGUUCAUAACUAUAACAUUGAUAUAUUAUUUGUUAACUCAUAACACUCACUCAUUUAUUUCAUAUCAGUAUUAUAAGAGGUUACUCGGUGUCGGGAAAAUCAUGCAGCUCUUCAACCAUGGCUGGACAGCUCUCACAUUUGCGCUUCGGCAAUUGGAACGAAAACGCUUAGGAGCACCCUCAAGCUUUUUUAAACCACGAAUCCAACGCAAGGGAUGAAAAUGACAAACAUACAUCACAAAAGGUAUUAGUCAUCAUAUUCAUGUUUGACAAAGUAGUUUAAAUUUAUAUUUUUUGUUUGACUAAUUCUUUUUCUACUCUUUGAUCCUCAAUGAUUUGGUUACAUCUUACUUUAAUCACUAUCAAUAAAGGCUGACUACUACUACAAUUAGAAGUUUCUGCAAAGAAAAUUGUAG